rnacentral:lncRNA from 1 species
UUCAGGGCAGGGACUGUAUAAGUAAAGGUAAUUUGGGGGGAAAAGGGUCACAUUUAACCUGCUACUAUUGCAUAGGCACCCCAGCUGCCUCAUCCCUCUCUGCCACCCUUGAGUCAGGCUUUCCCAGGAGCUUGUUCAGUCCCCUAUCCCCCAUUGUCCUCAUCAUCGUGUGCCCCCUUCUCCCGACACCCCCCCUCCCAACCUUUGCUGCCUGGGCUGGCAGGAACUCUUGCCCAUACUGAUGCUUGGGGUUCCAGCUCUUGAGUUGCUUAAUUCUAGCUGAUAUAUCCAAAAUCUUCACCACUGAGUCCCCUUGCCUUUGUCUAGCUCCCGCGUGACAACACCAGACGCAGGUGUUUCAAGGCUAUGAUGCAUCCAUCUAACCAAGUCAAUUCCUGCAAUUCCCGAUUCCUGCUGUAUUCUGCUUCCCUGACAUGAAUUGACUGGAGUCCUUAUAUAGUUGAUGCUAUUUCUCCUCUACUUCUGGAAGCCUCUUUGGGAAUGAUUAAGCCAUGGUAAUGGUGAGAGCUAACAGGCAGAGGGAGGGCACUGGGUGCCAAGCUCUGGAAGGCAGACGAGCACCCCCAUUUGAACCUGGCCUAGAGCGACAGCACCUGCCAUCGCACUACAGCCUUUCCUAGCCCAGACAGGACCUCUAAUCCUGCCCUAGGAGACAGAGAGUGAAACAAGACCCUAAACUCUGCAACCUCAAACUGAAUGCGGAUUUGGAGACCUUGUAGGGGAGCUGCUGUCUCAGAGAGAAAGAUCCAUCACUUGCUUGAUAAAGAAGCAAGAAAACAGAUGCAAGAGAUACCAGUCAACAUAUUUGAUAGUUUGCUCAUUUUUUCAUUUAUUUUCUCAUUUAUUCAAUGAUCUUGCAAGCGUUUAUCAUCUAUCAGAGUAAGUAUUUUGGUGGCAGAAGUAGACAGGAUGCCUAACAUAAAUCACAAUGUUCACCUUUCAAGAGUAACUAAAGAACAGCAAUUAAUGACACAAAUAUUCAAGUUAAUAUAUAGAGGUAUAGAUAAACAUUCUGGGAACUCAUCUGAAUAAUAAGCAACAGGUCCUCAUAUAUUUAUUGUUAAGAAUAUUUUUAUAAGAGGAAAUGGGAAAAUGGGGGGGCUUUAAUUGGGACAGAGGAGGAAAGUCAAUUUUAAAGAAAAGGGGGAGAGCAGGGGAAAAUGGCACUGAUGAUAUCUGAAAAAGUCCUAAGGAAUUAUGCCAUUAUUCAUUGACCUAGAAUUACAUGCAAUACAUAUAAGUCUAUGUGUAUACAUACACACAUAUUUAUAUAUACUUAUAUAGUUUAAAUGAAAUUGUUUCAUUUGGGUUUAAAAUGCUCUCACCAAGAACCAUAGAAUAUCUAAUAAAACCCCAACAUGUGACA